rnacentral:rRNA from 1 species
CCUACGGGGGGCUGCAGUGGGGAAUAUUGGACAAUGGGGAGAACCCUGAUCCAGCCAUGCCGCGUGUGUGAAGAAGGCCCUCGGGUUGUAAAGCACUUUCAGUGAGGAAGAACGCCUGGUGGUUAAUACCCAUCAGGAAAGACAUCACUCACAGAAGAAGCACCGGCUAACUCCGUGCCAGCAGCCGCGGUAAUACGGAGGGUGCGAGCGUUAAUCGGAAUUACUGGGCGUAAAGCGCGCGUAGGUGGCUUGAUAAGCCGGUUGUGAAAGCCCCGGGCUCAACCUGGGAACGGCAUCCGGAACUGUCAAGCUAGAGUGCAGGAGAGGAAGGUAGAAUUCCCGGUGUAGCGGUGAAAUGCGUAGAGAUCGGGAGGAAUACCAGUGGCGAAGGCGGCCUUCUGGACUGACACUGACACUGAGGUGCGAAAGCGUGGGUAGCAAACAGGAUUAGAUACCCUAGUAGUC